rnacentral:misc_RNA from 1 species
ACAAGAGCCUCUUCAAGCAGCAGCAUGCGGUCACCAUUAGAAAUCAAGGCUGUGGAUACAACAAUGGCAGAUGAGUCGGUAUUGAAGAACUGGAAAUCUCAUGCUACUGCUUAUGACAUGUCUGUUCUGGAUGAAAGCGAAGUAGUGUUUCCAGUGAUUCAAGUCGGAAGUUAUCACUCUCAGUGGAUAACAAUAGAGAACCCAAGUCAAAAACCAAUCUUGGUGCAGCUUGUUCUGAACUCCUGGGAAAUUAUUGAUGAGUGCAAGACUUCAGGA